rnacentral:rRNA from 1 species
GAUGAACGCUGGCGGCGUGCCUAAUACAUGCAAGUCGAGCGAACAGACGAGGAGCUUGCUCCUCUGACGUUAGCGGCGGACGGGUGAGUAACACGUGGAUAACCUACCUAUAAGACUGGGAUAACUUCGGGAAACCGGAGCUAAUACCGGAUAAUAUAUUGAACCGCAUGGUUCAAUAGUGAAAGACGGUUUUGCUGUCACUUAUAGAUGGAUCCGCGCCGCAUUAGCUAGUUGGUAAGGUAACGGCUUACCAAGGCAACGAUGCGUAGCCGACCUGAGAGGGUGAUUGGCCACACUGGAACUGAGACACGGUCCAGACUCCUAAGGGAGGCAGCAGUAGGGAAUCUUCCGCAAUGGGCGAAAGCCUGACGGAGCAACGCCGCGUGAGUGAUGAAGGUCUUCGGAUCGUAAAACUCUGUUAUUAGGGAAGAACAAAUGUGUAAGUAACUAUGCACGUCUUGACGGUACCUAAUCAGAAAGCCACGGCUAACUACGUG